AGAAGCAUAGUAGCUUAGUGGUAGAGCAUCUGUCUUGCAUGCAGAAGACCCCGGGUUCAAACCCCAGUGUCUCCA